UACGAAGGGGGCUAGCGUUGUUCGGAAUUACUGGGCGUAAAGCGCAUGUAGGCGGCGAUUCAAGUCGGGGGUGAAAUCCUGAGGCUCAACCUCAGAACUGCCUUCGAUACUGUUUUGCUAGAGUAUGGAAGAGGUAGGUGGAACUGCGAGUGUAGAGGUGAAAUUCGUAGAUAUUCGCAAGAACACCAGUGGCGAAGGCGGCCUACUGGUCCAUCACUGACGCUGAGAUGCGAAAGCGUGGGGAGCAAACAGG
rnacentral:rRNA from 1 species